rnacentral:rRNA from 1 species
GGGCACGGGGGGCCUACGGGGAGGCAGCAGUGGGGAAUAUUGGACAAUGGGCGCAAGCCUGAUCCAGCCAUGCCGCGUGAGUGAAGAAGGCCUUCGGGUUGUAAAGCUCUUUUGUCAGGGAAGAAACGGUGGGGAGCUAAUAUCUCCUGCUAAUGACGGUACCUGAAGGAAUAAGCACCGGCUAACUACGUGCC